GUUGAUUUAACCCUAUUUGGGUUGAAAAUCGGUCUUGAUCUAUAACCCAGCAGUGCUGGGUUGGGAACAACGACGUGAAAAAGCACGCACGUGACGUCAACGUCCAGACAGGCAGGACAUCAGCGUGACCAACCGCCAUUUUCUCUGUGCCGUCUUUAGAGGGAAGCAAGCAAAAUUCUGUCUGAAGAGUAAGUUAUUCGAGACGGCCGUGCUUCGCCCUUGUCGUCUUGACGAGAAAGCGCGCGCCAACAUCGUCGUCUGAAGGAGCUUGGAAAAGAUAAGCAGUGCUGGGUUGGAAACGCAUACGUGAAAGAGCGCGCACGUGACGUCACCGUCCAGGCAAGCAGGGACAUCAGCGUGAGCAAC